rfam:Acetobacterium wieringae strain DSM 1911 ACWI_contig000012, whole genome shotgun sequence.
GACAGCCAAGAAGCGCCAGAACUCAAGUGAUGGUCCACACAGAAAUUGAGUUGACGAGGUCAGGGAGUAUCGAAAAUUCGGCGGAUGCCCUGGAGAAUUGUCAUUUAAAACCAAAGAGUGAUCUUUGGGACAGAGAUGGCAUAAAAAAGAAAU